CUCACAUCAAUUGAAUUGAUUUUGUGCGUAUACGUUAACAAUAUAUUUUGCGAUGUUUCUCGUUUAUCUAUUCUAUGAUUUAGGAAGGGAGCUUGGUACAAAUUCAGAUGUUAAGCACAGUGAUGAAGGGGAAACUAAAACAACAGCUGAAGGUGAUAGUGAAGGAGAUCAUGAUAUAAAUAUAGAUGUUGCACACACAGAUGAAGAGGAAAUUGUAGCAAGUG